rnacentral:rRNA from 1 species
UACGUAGGGGGCUAGCGUUGUCCGGAAUUACUGGGCGUAAAGAGCGUGUAGGCGGGUAUUUAAGUCAGGUGUGAAAGACCGGGGCCCAACUCCGGAGUGGCACUUGAUACUGGGUACCUUGAGGGCAGGAGAGGAAAGUGGAAUUCCUGGUGUAGCGGUGAAAUGCGUAGAUAUCAGGAGGAACACCAGUGGCGAAGGCGGCUUUCUGGACUGACCCUGACGCUGAGACGCGAAAGCGUGGGGAG